rnacentral:tRNA from 14 species
AGGGUUGUCCGAGUGGUCUAAGGAGUCGCACUUAAGCACCUUAUGCAAAUGCGAUGGCGAGAGCCUCGCGGGUUCGAACCCCGUACUCUGC